rnacentral:rRNA from 1 species
CCUACGGGUGGCAGCAGUGAGGAAUAUUGGUCAAUGGGCUUACGCCUGAACCAGCCAAGUCGCGUGAGGGAAGACUGCCCUAUGGGUUGUAAACCUCUUUUGUCAGCGAGCAACGCCGGCUACGUGUAGCCGGACUGAGAGUACCUGAAGAAAAAGCAUCGGCAAACUCCUUGCCCGCAGCCGCGGUAAUACGGAGGAUGCGAGCGUUAUACGGGGUGUUUGGGUUUAAAGGGUGCGUAGGCGGAAUGCCAAGUCAGCGGUAAAAUCGCGGGGCUCAACCUCGAUCCGCCGUUGAAACUGGCAUUCUUGAGUAGGCGAGAAGUAUGCGGAAUGCGUGGUGUAGCGGUGAAAUGCAUAGAGAUCACGCAGAACUCCGAGUGCGAGGGCAGCAAACCGGCGCCCAACUGACGCUGAAGCACGAAAGCGUGGGUAUCGAACAGGAUUAGAUACCCUGGUAGUC